rnacentral:rRNA from 1 species
GCAANCNUNCGGAUUAUUGGGUUUAAGGGUUCGUAGGCGGCUUUGUAAGUCAGUGGUGAAAUUUCCUAGCUUAACUAGGACACUGCCAUUGAUACUGCAGAGCUUGAAUAAUAUGGAAGUAACUAGAAUAUGUAGUGUAGCGGUGAAAUGCUUAGAUAUUACAUGGAAUACCAAUUGCGAAGGCAGGUUACUACGUAUUUAUUGACGCUGAUGAACGAAAGCGUGGGGAGCGAACAGGAUUAGAUACCCUGGUAGUCCACGCCGUAAACGAUGGAUACUAGCUGUUCGGAUUUCGGACUGAGUGGCUAAGCGAAAGUGAUAAGUAUCCCACCUGGGGAGUACGUUCGCAAGAAUGAAACUCAAAGGAAUUGACGGGGGCCCGCACAAGCGGUGGAGCAUGUGGUUUAAUUCGAUGAUACGCGAGGAACCUUACCAGGGCUUAAAUGUAGAUUGACAGAUUUGGAAACAGAUUUUUCUUCGGACAAUUUACAAGGUGCUGCAUGGUUGUCGUCAGCUCGUGCCGUGAGGUGUCAGGUUAAGUCCUAUAACGAGCGCAACCCCUAUUGUUAGUUACCAGCGCGUAGUGGCGGGGACUCUAGCAAGACUGCCGGUGCAAACCGUGAGGAAGGUGGGGAUGACGUCAAAUCAUCACGGCCCUUACGUCCUGGGCUACACACGUGCUACAAUGGCAAGUACAGAAAGCAGCUACCUGGCAACAGGAUGCGAAUCUCCAAAGCUUGUCUCAGUUCGGAUUGGAGUCUGCAACUCGACUCUAUGAAGCUGGAAUCGCUAGUAAUCGGAUAUCAGCCAUGAUCCGGUGAAUACGUUCCCGGGCCUUGUACACACCGCCCGUCAAGCCAUGAAGCUGGGGGUACCUGAAGUCGGUGACCGCAAGGAGCUGCCUAGGUAAACUAGUACUAGGCUAUCUNNAGGGGGGCCGCGNCNC